rnacentral:rRNA from 1 species
AAAUCCCCGAGUUAGCCUGGGGAACGGCAUUUGAAACUGGAAAGUUAGGAAUCUUUUAGAGGGGGGUAGAAUUCCAGGUGUAACGGUGAAAUGCGUAGAGAUCUGGAGGGAAACCGGUGGCGAAGGCGGCCCCUUGGACAAAAGACUGACGAUCAGGUGCGAAACGCGUGGGGAGCAAACAGGGAUUAGAUACCCCUGGUAGUCCACGCCGUAAACGGUGUCGACUUGGAGGUUGUGCCCUUGAGGCGUGGCUUCCGGAGCUAACGCGUUAAGUCGACCGCCUGGGGAGUACGGCCGCAAGGUUAAAACUCAAAUGAAUUGACGGGGGCCCGCACAAGCGGUGGAGCAUGUGGUUUAAUUCGAUGCAACGCGAAGAACCUUACCUGGCCUUGACAUCCACGGAAUUCGGCAGAGAUGCCUUAGUGCCUUCGGGAACCGUGAGACAGGUGCUGCAUGGCUGUCGUCAGCUCGUGUUGUGAAAUGUUGGGUUAAGUCCCGCAACGAGCGCAACCCUUAUCCUUUGUUGCCAGCGCGUGAUGCGGGAACUCAAAGGAGACUGCCGGUGACAAACCGGAGGAAGGUGGGGAUGACGUCAAGUCAUCAUGGCCCUUACGGCCAGGGCUACACACGUGCUACAAUGGCGCAUACAAAGAGAAGCGACCUCGCGAGAGCAAGCGGACCUCAUAAAGUGCGUCGUAGUCCGGAUCGGAGUCUGCAACUCGACUCCGUGAAGUCGGAAUCGCUAGUAAUCGUAGAUCAGAACGCUACGGUGAAUACGUUCCCGGGCCUUGUACACACCGCCCGUCACACCAUGGGAGUGGGUUGCAAAAGAAGUAGGUAGCUUAACCUCCGGGAGGGCGCUUACCACUUUGUGAUUCAUGACUGGGGUGAAGUCGUAACAAGGUAACC